rnacentral:lncRNA from 1 species
AGUUCUGGGCGUGGUGGCAACACCGGCGACUCGCCGGCGGCGAGUCUAAGGGCGGCGACGGCGAAAAUGCCGUUUAGCCCCCAAACUUUUGGAGGUGGUGAAGAUUUUGUACUCUAGUUUCAUUUCUGGCAAAUUGACCCCUGACUUCCUUUGGUCUAUGUUUCAAGUAUUCAUACCUUUCUUUUCAAUGUUCCGAAAUGCGAGUAUUCUGACCCAUUCUUUCUAAUCUUCAAGUUUCUAAAGAAUUUCCGUUUUACAAAUUAAUUCGAAGUUCAGAUUGUCAUUGAAGCAUGUGUUGCUCAGUGAU